rnacentral:rRNA from 1 species
UACGUAGGGUGCAAGCGUUAAUCGGAAUUACUGGGCGUAAAGGGCGCGUAGGCGGCCAGCACAAGUCAGUUGUGAAAUCUCCGGGCUUAACUCGGAAAGGUCAACUGAUACUGUGCGGCUAGAGUGCAGAAGGGGCAACUGGAAUUCUCGGUGUAGCGGUGGAAUGCGUAGAUAUCGAGAGGAACACCUGCGGCGAAGGCGGGUUGCUGGGCUGACACUGACGCUGAUGCGCGAAAGCCAGGGGAGCGAACGGG